GAUGAACGCUAGCUACAGGCUUAACACAUGCAAGUCGAGGGGAAACGGCAUUGAGUGCUUGCACUCUUUGGACGUCGACCGGCGCACGGGUGAGUAACGCGUAUCCAACCUUCCCAUUACUGUGGGAUAACCUGCCGAAAGGCCGACUAAUACCGCAUAGUCUUCGAUGACGGCAUCAGAUUUGAAGUAAAGAUUUAUCGGUAAUGGAUGGGGAUGCGUCUGAUUAGCUUGUUGGCGGGGUAACGGCCCACCAAGGCGACGAUCAGUAGGGGUUCUGAGAGGAAGGUCCCCCACAUUGGAACUGAGACACGGUCCAAACUCCUACGGGAGGCAGCAGUGAGGAAUAUUGGUCAAUGGACGGAAGUCUGAACCAGCCAAGUAGCGUGCAGGACGACGGCCCUAUGGGUUGUAAACUGCUUUUGUAUGGGGAUAAAGUUAGGGACGUGUCCCUAUUUGCAGGUACCAUACGAAUAAGGACCGGCUAAUUCCGUGCCAGCAGCCGCGGUAAUACGGAAGGUCCAGGCGUUAUCCGGAUUUAUUGGGUUUAAAGGGAGCGUAGGCUGGAUAUUAAGUGUGUUGUGAAAUGUAGACGCUCAACGUCUGACUUGCAGCGCAUACUGGUUUCCUUGAGUACGCACAACGUUGGCGGAAUUCGUCGUGUAGCGGUGAAAUGCUUAGAUAUGACGAAGAACUCCGAUUGCGAAGGCAGCUGACGGGAGCGCAACUGACGCUUAAGCUCGAAGGUGCGGGUAUCAAACAGG
rnacentral:rRNA from 1 species